AUAAGCUCUCUGAGUCCUCAUUGAACCAGCCCAUAGCCCUAUGGCUAAAGGUUCCAUGUCUAGUAUUUCAGCUCCCUGGCAACUUGGUUCUGGACUCCAUUGGCUCUGGAAUGCAUGAUUUCUAUUCCAUUUAUAUCAGGAUUCUGGUCUGUCUUCUCCAAUUCACCUACCACAAAGUUUCCAGGGUGCUUUUCAAAAACAAGAGCCUGGAGGUCUUAUUUUCCUGUUAAAUGCUGAUUAUUGGCUUUUAAUGCUUUCCACAGUAAUUAAAGCUGUUAGUGAGCUAACGGUGAAGGUUCUUCAUUGACUGGAAUGGUUGUUGCUCAGAAACAUUCUGGAAGAUGACUAGUUGAAGAAAUGGUCCCCAGAUCUCCUAAGCAAGUAUCUCUGACAUAACUAAGCAGCAAGGUCAUAAAUCAACUUUAUCUCACAUAGUCACCAUGCUUAUCAAAGUUCUGAAGUAAAUUUGGAGACCUCUGUGAUGCAACAUAACUGGGGACUGGGAGAUACUUCACAACAUAAGAAACACAUGGACUUGGUGCCAACUGCUUAGGAAAAGAAUUCCCAUGAAUCCAGAUCAGGCCAAUUCCCAGUGGACCCGUGUCUUCAAAACCCAAAUCAUUCUACUUGCUAGUAACCAACUAGAAAGCCCUUGUGGGUUUCUUGUUAAUUUUGAGUUUGCUCUUCCUGCAAUAUCUACUCACUACUUCUCCAGUGAAAUUAAAAAAAAACAACAACAACAACUUAUUUUCAUCUACAAGAAUUUAUCAAAUGUCUUACCUCACAUGCUGAUAGUUCCUGCCUGAUUCCUUGAAUGGCGAUGAACAGUCAUGUGACCUUCGUACCCACUGACACAAUAAUCAUUAAAAACAAUUGGAUUGUACUCCCUGUGAAGUUUGAGACUGGGUACAAAAGUUUGUACAGUAUAAAAACAUCUGUGACUACAAUAACAUCUAUAGCUUAAAAAUACUCAUUCCUCAAUGAACUUGAAGUAAAUGACUAAAGUAAGUGAAACUGAGAGUUUAUUUGAAAAGACUUCUGAUCUGAUUAAAAUAUUGUGUAAUGAAAAUAUUUGCGGAAAAAUAUGAUGUAAUAGGUUGUUUUUCAAAGUUUAAGUCCAUUGAAUGCCAAAUGAGAAUGUGAAAAUCCCCUGGAGAAUACCCACUCUGAGGUCCACCCUAACCUGAAACUGUUUUUUAUUGGCACUUCCACCAAACCUGGGUUUAACAAUAGGGCAUG
rnacentral:lncRNA from 1 species